GAUGAACGCUGGCGGCGUGCCUAAUACAUGCAAGUCGAGCGAACGGACUAGAAGCUUGCUUCUCUGAUGUUAGCGGCGGACGGGUGAGUAACACGUGGAUACCCUCCCUAUCAGACUGGGAUCACUUCGGGAAUCCGUAGCUAAUCCCAGAUAAUCUUUUGAACCGCAUUGUUCAAAAGUGAGAGUCGGUCUUUCUGUCUCUUAUCGCUGCUUCCGCGCUUCAUUAGCUAGUUGGUAAGGUAACGGCUUACCAAGGCAACGAUGCAUAGCCGACGUGAGGGGGUGAUCGGCCACACGGGAACUGAGACGCGGUCCAGACUCCUACGGGAGGGAGCAGAAGGCAAUCGGCCGCAGUGGGCGAAAGCCUUACGGAGCAGCGCCGCGUGAGUGAUGAAGGUCUUGGGAUCGUAAAACUCUGUUAUUAGUGAAGAACAUAUGUGGAAGGAACUGUGCAGAUCUUGACGGUACUGAAUCAGAAAGCCACGGCUAACUACGUG
rnacentral:rRNA from 1 species